rnacentral:rRNA from 1 species
CGCGGCCUAUCAGCUUGUUGGUGGGAUAACGGCCUACCAAGGCAACGACGGGUAGCUGGUCUGAGAGGACGAUCAGCCACACUGGGACUGAGACACGGCCCAGACUCCUACGGGAGGCAGCAGUGGGGAAUCUUGCGCAAUGGGCGGAAGCCUGACGCAGCGACGCCGCGUGGGGGAUGACGGCCUUCGGGUUGUAAACCUCUUUCAGCAGGGACGAAGCGGAAGUGACGGUACCUGCAGAAGAAGCACCGGCCAACUACGUGCCAGCAGCCGCGGUAAUACGUAGGGUGCAAGCGUUGUCCGGAAUUAUUGGGCGUAAAGAGCUCGUAGGCGGUCUGUCGCGUCGUCUGUGAAAUUCUGGGGCUUAACUCCGGGCGUGCAGGCGAUACGGGCACAACUUGAGUGCUGUAGGGGUAACUGGAAUUCCUGGUGUAGCGGUGAAAUGCGCAGAUAUCAGGAGGAACACCGAUGGCGAAGGCAGGUUACUGGGCAGUUACUGACGCUGAGGAGCGAAAGCAUGGGUAGCGAACAGGAUUAGAUACCCUGGUAGUCCAUGCCGUAAACGGUGGGCGCUAGGUGUGAGGGUCUUUCUACGACUUUCGUGCCGUAGCUAACGCAUUAAGCACCCCGCCUGGGGAGUACGG